GUUGGAGAGAGCAGUCAAGCUUGGAAAGAAAGACCAAAAUUUACUGAUUGAGAAUAUUGUCCAGAGCAAACAGAAUGAGGUUUCCUUUAACAUCAGCUGGUUAGAGGACCUUUAUGAGGAAAUUAUACUGGAAACACAAGGGUCUGGAAUUAUUCUUUUGAGGGGGUCAGAGUAUAUUUCUUGGCCUAUCCUCCACUUCAAAGAGGACCAGCCUUUAUGAUAAGUUGACGGGGGUGAGGGGUGUGUCCCUGCAGGUACCUUGAUCUGGCUGAUGCUAAUCAGAAGUGGCAAACUGGAGAAUAUCUAAUUAUGAAUAUCUCAUGUUCCU